rnacentral:rRNA from 1 species
ACAGCUCAAAUUUGAAAUCUGGGACGUUUUGUCUCCGAGUUGUAAUUUGCAGAGGAAGCCUCGGAGGGAUGGUGGGUCCAAGUGCCUUGGAACAGGAUACCGCAGAGGGUGAGAGUCCCGUAUCCGGCCGACGCAUCGCUCCGUGUGAGGCUCCUUCGACGAGUCGAGUUGUUUGGGAAUGCAGCUCUAAGCGGGUGGUAAAUUCCAUCUAAAGCUAAAUACUGGCCAGAGACCGAUAGCGAACAAGUAGAGUGAUCGAAAGAUGAAAAGCACUUUGAAAAGAGAGUCAAACAGUACGUGAAAUUGUUGAAAGGGAAGCGCAUGGGGGCAGACUUGGACGCGGGGUUCAGGGUGUCGAUUUCGGCGCCUGUACUUCCCCGCGGACAGGCCAGCAUCGGUUCUGGGGGCCGGACAAAGGCGUUGAGAAAGUGGCCGCCUCGGCGGUGUUAUAGCUCGACGUGCAAUGCGGCCAUCCGGGACCGAGGACCGCGCUUCGGCAAGGAUGCUGGCGUAAUGGCCUCAUGCGGCCCGUCUUGAAACACGGACCAAGGAGUCUAACAUCUAUGCGAGUGUUUGGGUGGCAAGCCCGGGCGCGCAAUGAAAGUGAACGGAGGUGGGAGCGCUGUGACAGGCGUGCACCAUCGACCGAUCCGGACGUUUUCCGAAGGAUUUGAGUAAGAGCAUAGCUGUUGGGACCCGAAAGAUGGUGAACUAUGCGUGAAUAGGGUGAAGCCAGAGGAAACUCUGGUGGAGGCUCGCAGCGGUUCUGACGUGCAAAUCGAU